CAGCAGCCACGGUAAUACGGAGGGUGCAAGCGUUAAUCGGAAUUACUGGGCGUAAAGCGCACGCAGGCGGUUUGUUAAGUCAGAUGUGAAAUCCCCGGGCUCAACCUGGGAACUGCAUUUGAAACUGGCAAGCUAGAGUCUCGUAGAGGGGGGUAGAAUUCCAGGUGUAGCGGUGAAAUGCGUAGAGAUCUGGAGGAAUACCGGUGGCGAAGGCGGCCCCCUGGACGAAGACUGACGCUCAGGUGCGAAAGCGUGGGGAGCAAACAGGAUUAGAUACCCCAGUAGUCCCUGUCUCUUAUAC
rnacentral:rRNA from 1 species